UACGAGGGGUGCAAACGUUAUUCGGAAUCACUGGGCGUAAAGGGUGUGCAGACGGCGAAACAAGUCAGUUAUAAAAUCUCUUGGCUUAACCAAGAACCUGUAACCGAAACUGUUUUGCUUGAGGAUGGAAGAGAGAAGCGGAAUUCUCGGAGUAGCGGUAAAAUGCGUAGAUCUCGAGAGGAACACCGAUGGCGAAGGCAGCUUCUUGGUCCAUUUCUUACGUUGAGACACGAAAGCGUGGGGAGCAAACAGG
rnacentral:rRNA from 1 species